rnacentral:tRNA from 1 species
ACUAAAAUGACAGAUAAUAUGUACAAAAUUUAAGCUUUUGAAAAUGAAGAAUUUUCUUCUUUUAGUA